rnacentral:rRNA from 1 species
AUGACUCUACCCGAUACCAAGCGACGCAUCAUGCUUGAGAGCGUUUCUCAGACGUUGCCCAAGCAAGUACCUGAGGUAGCUAAGGUGCAUGCCAUGUUGGUCGGGCUUAUUGACCUUUCCAAGAAAUUGGAGGUUGGCCAGACUGAGUUCACGAAGGGAUCCGAGCGAGAUGAACAUGCUGCUGCUGAAGUCGAGCUUAAAAUUAAGUCCGUCCAUGAAGUUUCCAUGGCUGCAAUUGGGGAUUUAUCUGACCUAUACAAGAAGUGUGCUGAAAUGGAGGUGCAGGAAGCAGCGCUUAAGGUGCGGCUUAAGGAGGCUACCGCCAGUUUGCAGAAGCUUAAACUAGAGAGGGAACAGCGCCGACAAGCACAUAAUGCCCAUCAAUCUGAACUGAAGCACUUGGUGAAGAGUCUGCAGGACACCAACGCCGGCAAGCGUACAAGGCUUGCUGAAUUUGAACAAAAGACGGCAAAAUUAAAGACUGAAGCAAGUCAUUUGUUGAACAGCGUGCAGAACUGGCGAGCUCCUUGA